CCUACGGGGGGCAGCAGUAGGGAAUCUUUCACAAUGGGCGAAAGCCUGAUGGAGCAACGCCGCGUGCAGGAUGAAGGCCUUCGGGUUGUAAACUGCUUUUAUAAGCGAGAAAUAUGAUGGUAACUUAUGAAUAAGGAUCGGCUAACUACGUGCCAGCAGCCGCGGUCAUACGUAGGAUCCGAGCAUUAUCCGGAGUGACUGGGUGUAAAGAGUUGCGUAGGUGGCAUAAUAAGUAGCUAGUGAAAUCUGGUGGCUCAACCAUUCAGACUAUUAGCUAAACUGUUAAGCUCGAGACCGUUAGGGGUAACUGGAAUUUCUAGUGUAGGAGUGAAAUCCGUAGAUAUUAGAAGGAACACCAAUAGCGUAGGCAGGUUGCUGGGACGGUUCUGACACUAAGGCACGAAAUCGUAGGGAGCAAACGGGAUUAGAUACCCGAGUAGUC
rnacentral:rRNA from 1 species